GGUUGGGUGGCCGAGUAGGUGUUAGUCUCUUAAAUUAAUCACG
rnacentral:tRNA from 1 species